ACGCUCGACACCUACGGGGGGCAGCAGUGGGGAAUAUUGGGCAAUGGGCGCAAGCCUGACCCAGCAACGCCGCGUGAAGGAUGAAGGCUUUCGGGUUGUAAACUUCUUUUAUCAGGGACGAAACAAAUGACGGUACCUGAUGAAUAAGCCACGGCUAACUACGCGCCAGCAGCCGCGGUAAUCUGAGCGGGCUGGCAAGGC
rnacentral:rRNA from 1 species